rnacentral:rRNA from 1 species
UUAGUUUGAUCAUGGCUCAGGACGAACGCGGGCGGCGUGCCUAAUACAUGCAAGUCGAGCGGACCGACGGGAGCUUGCUCCUUUAGGUCAGCGGCGGACGGGUGAGUAACACGUGGGUAACCUGCCUGUAAGACUGGGAUAACUCCGGGAAACCGGGGCUAAUACCGGAUGCUUGAUUGAACCGCAUGGUUCAAUCAUAAAAGGUGGCUUUCAGCUACCACUUACAGAUGGACCCGCGGCGCAUUAGCUAGUUGGUGAGGUAACGGCUCACCAAGGCGACGAUGCGUAGCCGACCUGAGAGGGUGAUCGGCCACACUGGGACUGAGACACGGCCCAGACUCCUACGGGAGGCAGCAGUAGGGAAUCUUCCGCAAUGGACGAAAGUCUGACGGAGCAACGCCGCGUGAGUGAUGAAGGUUUUCGGAUCGUAAAACUCUGUUGUUAGGGAAGAACAAGUACCGUUCGAAUAGGGCGGUACCUUGACGGUACCUAACCAGAAAGCCACGGCUAACUACGUGCCAGCAGCCGCGGUAAUACGUAGGUGGCAAGCGUUGUCCGGAAUUAUUGGGCGUAAAGCGCGCGCAGGCGGUUUCUUAAGUCUGAUGUGAAAGCCCCCGGCUCAACCGGGGAGGGU